GUCAAAAAUCUGAGACAAGUGCCUGUGAGGAACACGUAUAGUUAUCAUUAGGUGCCUCCUUUUAUGAUAUAGCUAUGCUUUUGCAAAGUAUUAGCUCUCUUAAGGGUGGGAGGGUCUAGGGCUCAUUCGUGCUCAUCUCUACAGUUAAAAUACUAGUAUCUGUUUUUAAAGUUUAUUCAUUUAAGCAGGUAUAACUUGCAAUUUUGUUUUAUUGUUUAUAAAAUUUUGAGAUCUUAAAUUUCCUAGACUCAUUACCACAUUCACUUCAGCCUUUGUGGAACACGAUUUCGUAUCAUCUAGCAAUGUUCAGCGCAGGUGGAACACGAUUUCGUAUCAUCUAGCAAUGUUCAGCGCAGGUACAACGCGCUUCAGUUAUUACCCCCAGGCAAUUUUACAAAGUCAUUGGCUAGAACUUUGGUUCCUACUUUAUAGUAUGGGAGAUGGUGUGUAAUAUACAGAGUUUAUCCAAAUUAAAUUAUUUUUAUUGGAACGACUUGAAUAGAAGACCGCGCCUACUUGCGUGAUGAUUUUCAGCACCACAUGUCUAAGCAGUCCAUGAAUGAC
rnacentral:lncRNA from 1 species